UGGGGAAUAUUGCACAAUGGGCGCAAGCCUGAUGCAGCCAUGCCGCGUGUGUGAAGAAGGCCUUCGGGUUGUAAAGCACUUUCAGCGGGGAGGAAGGCGUUAAGGUUAAUAACCUUGGCGAUUGACGUUACCCGCAGAAGAAGCACCGGCUAACUCCGUGCCAGCAGCCGCGGUAAUACGGAGGGUGCAAGCGUUAAUCGGAAUUACUGGGCGUAAAGCGCACGCAGGCGGUCUGUCAAGUCGGAUGUGAAAUCCCCGGGCUCAACCUGGGAACUGCAUUCGAAACUGGCAGGCUAGAGUCUUGUAGAGGGGGGUAGAAUUCCAGGUGUAGCGGUGAAAUGCGUAGAGAUCUGGAGGAAUACCGGUGGCGAGGGCGGCCCCCUGGACAAAGACUGACGCUCAGGUGCGAAAGCGUGGGGAGCAAACAGG
rnacentral:rRNA from 1 species